rnacentral:rRNA from 1 species
GUCGACGAUUACUCCUACGGGAGGCAGCAGUGGGGAAUAUUGGACAAUGGGCGCAAGCCUGAUCCAGCCAUGCCGCGUGGGUGAAGAAGGCCUUCGGGUUGUAAAGCCCUUUUGUCCGGAAAGAAAAGCAUUCGGUUAAUACCCGGGUGUUCUGACGGUACCGGAAGAAUAAGCACCGGCUAACUUCGUGCCAGCAGCCGCGGUAAUAAUCUCUAGA